UGGGGAAUAUUGCACAAUGGGCGCAAGCCUGAUGCAGCCAUGCCGCGUGUAUGAAGAAGGCCUUCGGGUUGUAAAGUACUUUCAGCGGGGAGGAAGGGAGUAAAGUUAAUACCUUUGCUCAUUGACGUUACCCGCAGAAGAAGCACCGGCUAACUCCGUGCCAGCAGCCGCGGUAAUACGGAGGGUGCAAGCGUUAAUCGGAAUUACUGGGCGUAAAGCGGACGCAGGCGGUUUGUUAAGUCAGAUGUGAAAUCCCCGGGCUCAACCUGGGAACGGCAUCUGAUACUGGCAAGCUUGAGUCUCGUAGAGGGGGGUAGAAUUCCAGGUGUAGCGGUGAAAUGCGUAGAGAUCUGGAGGAAUACCGGUGGCGAAGGCGGCCCCCUGGACGAAGACUGACGCUCAGGUGCGAAAGCGUGGGGAGCAAACAGG
rnacentral:rRNA from 1 species